CCAAUUAUGUUGGAGCAGAUGAAAACUCACGUUCAAAAUAGGAAAUAAAAGGCUGCCAGACCUUAGAAUAUCUCUUAGUGUUGCCCUGCAAAGUAAAUCUAAGAUGUUCUAAUUUUAGGUGUGCCAUCACCUCCUCUACCCACCGUUUGUGUGUUGGCGGUGCUGCCUUUAUCCAGUUAAAUAAGAUCAGUCUCCUGGCCAACAAUGAAGAGAAUGCUAUUGCUUUCCUUUGAGCAAUCGUUAAUUGUGUUUCCCCUGGUGCCACACCAAAAAUGGCUGUCAGAGGACCGGGCUCUAUAUUUUUGUCGUAGAUGGAUGAGAAGGUUUCAAAAAUUUUGGUCCAAAACUCUUUGAGCCUGGGACAAGACCAGAACAUAUGGCAUAUGUUGGCUGGCACCUGUUUACAUCUAGGGCAAGUCGGAUCAGCUCCCUGGUAAAUUCUUGCCAGUUUGUCCCUCGUGAAAUGAAGUCUGUGUAACACCUUAAACUGUAUUAAUCCAUGUCUAACACAUAUAGAAGAAGAAUGUAUUAGUUCUACUGCCCAUCUCCAUUCAUCGUCCGAUAUGUCCAACUCUAAUUCUUCCUCCCAUUUCCUUUUUAUGUAAUCAAGGGAUGGGGAAGCCACCCUCUGGAUAUUCACAUAAAGCAUAGAAACUGUCCCUUUAAGAGUCGGGUCCAUGUCCAAUAGCCCAUCUAUCCACCCACUCUGUGGUAGUUCAAGGGAUGAGGAGAAUGUCUUUCUCACAAAAUCUCGAAUCUGAAAGUAUCUGAAGUAGUUAGUCCUUAAGGGGAUUCCAUAUUCCUUCUCCAGCUGAGCAGCAGACAUAAAUACACCAUCUUUAAACAGAUUUUUAACACAUUCCACCCCAGCUCUAUACCAUUCCCUAAACGCUGCUCCCCCAAGGGCCGGAGAAAACAAGUGAUUGCCAUAAACGGGAGCAGACAGGAGGGCGUUUCUGUUUUUAAAAUGAGUUCUGAAUUGGACCCAGAUUUUGAUAGAGUCACAACAGGGUUGUUUGUGUAAAGGUGUUUGCUUAAGGGCAGAGGAGCACAGACCAGGGAGCGUAGGGAUACCGGGCUAGAUGCAUAUCUUUCCAUAUGUACCCACACUGGGGUUUCAUCAUCAUUUAACUGUGAGACCCAAAACAACAGCUUAUGUAGGUUAGCAGCCCAAUAAUAAUGCAUAUAAUUUGGUAGGGCGAGGCCCUCCUCUUCUCUCUGCCUCUCUAGGAACUCUCUUCUUAUCCGGGGGACUGUUUUUUUCCAAAUAAAGGUAGAUGUACAUUUAUUCAGUUCUUUAAAAAAAGAUUUAGGAAUGAAAAAUUGGCAUUGCCUGGAAUAAAAACAGGAACCGUGGCAUUACAGUCAUUUGAACAGAAUUUAUCUUCCCUGCUAAUGAUAUUGGGAGAGAUGACCACCUUUCCAUAUCUAAUUUUGCCUUGUCCAAUGUUACUUUAAAGUUAUGAUUAAAUAAGUCUUUGUAUUUACUUGUUACAGUAACACCUAAAUAGGUGAAUUUAUCUUUGUUUGUUGUAAAAGGAUAGGCCUGGAAUGAUAGUCUCCUCGCCUGUUUAUUAAUUGGGAAAAUAACACUUUUUUCUAGGUUAAUUUUAUAACCCGAAACCCUCCCAAAGUCUUCGAUAAUAUCCAGAGCCACCGGGAUGCUUGUGACAGGGUUCGACAGGAAAAGGAGGAGGUCGUCAGCGUAUAGAGAAAGUUUAUGGUUUUGCAUCCCCCUGCGUAUUCCCCCCAGUCCAGCAGCAUUCCUCAGCAUUAUUGCAAGGGGCUCAAUUGCCACAUCAAAGAGCAGGGGUGACAAGGGGCACCCCUGUCUUGUUCCCCGAAACAGAGGAAAAGGAUCAGAUAUUAUACUAUAUAGGAUGGCAUUUCCAGAUUUUCAAAAAAAUCCUUCACUCGCCCCCUGUCAUUUACUUCCGAAGUAUAAAGAUCCUUAUAAAAAGACUUAAAUUGGUUGUUAAUACCUUUCUGAUCUAUAAUCUUAUUCCCCAGGUUAUCCCCUAUCUCCACUAUCAUACCAGCGGCUGCUGACUGCUUCAGCUGGUGACUGAGGAGCUUACCUGCACGCUCACCAUGUUCAUAAAAAUCCUGUCUCGACCUAAGAUAUAGAUCCUCCUCACGCUGAUUUAUUAAGAUAUCAUACUCAGUUUGGAACAAAAUACGUUUUUUGUGUAGCUCCUCAGAGGGAGCCCUAGAAUUUGCCAGGUCAACUUCUUUUAUUGCCUUUGUUAAUUCUGUGGUACGUUUCAUCUUUCUUUUCCUUUCACCAGCAUUGUAUGAAAUUAUUUGUCCUCGAAUAUAAGCUUUUAAGGAUUCCCACAAAAUGGCACUGCUUAUGUCGGGGGUGUCAUUAAGCUCUAAGAAAAAAAACUAUUUGCGAGUUUAUAAAUUUGGUAAAAUUAUCAUCUGCCAAUAGCCUGUUAUUAAGGCGCCACAUUCUCUGAGGUGGCGUGUUUUCUGGAAAGUGAAGUUUCAAUAUGACUGGGCUGUGGUCGGAUAUUACUAUACCAGAGUAUUCUAUACCUGUUACUAUAGGGGUCAGUUUAUUGUCUAAUAAGAAGUAGUCAAUCCUAGUAUACGUCCGAUGUGGUGGGGAAUAAAAAGAGUACUGCCUGGAGGUUGGGUUUACGUAUCUCCAUGGAUCAAAUAUACCAUAUACCUUACAGAAGGAGUUAAUGCAUUGCGCUGAUUUGCUCAGUACACUGGGUGUUGGACUAGAGCGGUCCAGAGUUGAAUCUAGGACACAAUUCAAGUCUCCCCCUAGGAUCAGAUUAUGAGUAUCCAAAUUUGGUAAUAAUGAGAAUAGGUCCUUAAAAAAUUGAACAUUAUCCCAAUUGGGUGCAUAUAUGUUUGCCAGAACCACUGGCAUAUUGAAUAAUUUUCCAACUACAAUAACAUACCGACCAUGUUUAUCUUUUAUAGUGGUUGUUUCUACAAAUUGUACAUUCCUGUGUAUGAGGAUGGCCACUCCCCGACCCCUACUAUUGAAAUCCGAGUGAUAAACCUGAUAAAAUCCCCCCCUACAGAGCUUGAGGUGGUCCCUGUUCAACAAAUGUGUCUCCUGUAGAUAUACUAUCUCUACUCGCAGGUCUCUCAAAUGUGAAAAUACCUUACUCCGUUUAGCUGGAUUAUUGAUCGCCCUUACAUUCCAGCUCAUCAGUUUUGUGGCCAUUCUGCUCGGAUCCAUGUUUGGUGCCAUGUCAGAAGACUGUGGCCUUUGGCAACAAAAGCAAAAAAGUUAAAAGGAGGGGGUCUGGAAAGGAAGGGGGGGGGCAUUACACACGCAGACACAGCCAAUACAUAACACAUAACAUAUAUAAACACUAACCCAAAUAUAAUGCUCUUUAGUGAGCUCUCUCGUGGCCAACCGGUCCACCAUCUCCUGCACACCAAGCCUACCGUGUGCAGCUCUGUGUAUAUCGCUCUUAGUCUGAAAAGUAUAACAUCAACCUUUUAACUUAUUCACCUCAUUUUUCCGUUUGUCCAUCCUAUCAGCCAGACUUCUAAUUUUAUCAGCAACCAGCUUCACCUCCUCGCGUAGCAACUCAGAUUGGGCUCUCGUGCUCUCUUCCAAACUUUUGGUCCAUUUUUCCAACUCGGUUGUCAUCUUUUUUCUUCCUUUUUCUAUCUCUUCCUUACACUUUGCGAUCUCAGUCUUUCUCUCCUCUCUGUAUUUCGUAACCGCAACGUUGGCUUUUUUAAUCUCGGACAUCAUGUCCUGAGCCCACUGAGGUAUGCUGUCGGCUUGUGAUGGGCUAACACUGUCCCUGCUAGCUAAGGAGGCUACGCCGCUAGCCACCUGCUGCUUCUCUCCACCCGUUCGACUCGUUCGAGUCGUCAUUUUUCGGUCUAAAAAUGUACUGAAAGCGCACUUGCUAGUACCCGAACAAAACAGUAUUCGUUCACUCGCCCAAACUGAUAACAGUAUGGCGAUAUUAAUAUUUUUUGACAACUUUUACACGGAGCCUCCACACGCACGUCUUCACACGGCAAAGCACAUCCGGAAUUCACUGUCUUCUUCAAAUGUCUUCAAACACUAGUUUCAGUGUUAUGAAGUUCAUUUUGUCAAAUGUUGUGUUUGUUGUUGUUUUCGAUCCAGGAUGAAGAAAACUCUGAGCUUGAAAUCAGAAGUGAAUGAAGCUGUGGAGAUGAUAGAGUCAGACAACUGUCCUGAGUAUGAGAACGUUGCUGCUGCAGCACAGACAGAAGACACAGAGGAGCAGGAAGACCUGGUGUGAAGCAUCAGGUCAGAGCCACUGGGACAAACAGAACCAAGAUGGACGACUUCAGAGAACAUCCGUACAAGCUAGUUUUACUGAAACCAUAGUGUGUAAUUAUUAAAUACAGGAAAUCUGUCCAAGCAGCAAAAUAUCUGAGUGCAAGCGCAGAGUUUGAGCACAAGCAGAGCAAAUCUAAGCACCAGCAGGAGCUGUGUGAGUGCAAGCGCAGGGUUUUGAGUAAAAACACCACGAAAUCUGAACGUGCAAGUCUAGCUCUCAAACUAAAAGACCACACUUUUUAAUGAAGAGGAAAACACCCGUACAUUUCCUUUCUACUCAUGGUUUCCUGUUUACUUUUCUCCUCAGGUGCACUGUGAUUGGUUGAUGAAAGUAUUAAGGAGGGAACAGGAAGUAUCUCUCUUUCCAUCCCCGGUUGCAGCAGCAGUUUGUACAGCAUGACCUUUAGAGCAAGAGUAUUGUUGUGUUGUGUCUUUUCUUUUUCUUUUCUGAUGGGUCCAGUUGUCCAGUUUUCGCAACUUUAUUUCUGUGAGCUUUAGUUUUGAUGUUGGUUUAGGUUGAAGGAAGAUUCUCAGGUCCUACGACCCUUUGUGGGUUGGUGUGUUGGGUUUUCCUUCUUCUGCCCAUUUUGCUGGCCUGUUGUUGAAGUUAUUGUCUUUUCUUCAAUAAAUAUAUUUUUUUUUUUGCUGUUACCCGACGAUGAGCCUGUGAGGCUGUGGUAACACGACGUGACUCAUCUCCUGUCUUAUACAUGAUUUUAAUGUGGUUAUUACAUGGAUAAUGAAUUAUUAUGUAUCGUGAUUUUAUGAUUCUUUCUUAAAUAAAUGUUUUGGUUCUUUUGUUUUCA